rnacentral:tRNA from 1 species
GCCCUUGUAGCCCAAUUGGCAGAGGCAACGGAUUCAAAACCCGUCCAGUGUCGGUUCGAGUCCGACCAGGGGCACCA